AAUGAACGUUGGCGGCGUGGAUUAGGCAUGCAAGUCGUGCGCGAACUGUGGCAAUACAGGGAAAGCGGCGUAAGGGAGAGUAAUACGUAGGUAUCUACCCAUGGGUCUGGGAUAGCGGCGGGAAACUGCCGGUAAUACCAGAUAACGUCUCCGGACCAAAGGUGUGAUUCCACCUGUGGAGGAGCCUACGGCCUAUUAGCUAGUUGGCAGGGUAACGGCCUACCAAGGCUUGGAUGGGUACGGGUGUGAGAGCAUGCCCCCCGCUCACUGGGACGUGAGACACUGCCCAGACACCUACGGGUGGCUGCAGUCGAGAAUCUUCGGCAAUGGGCGGCAAGACCUGACCGAGCGACGCCGCGUGCGGGAUGAAGGCCUCGGUUGUAACGACGUGUCGUAGGGAGUG
rnacentral:rRNA from 1 species